ACAUUGUGCACAUGUACCCUAUAACUUAUAUUUAAAAAAAAACAAAAACGAAAGGACUUGAGACAUGAACGUAGAAUGCCUGGGUUCAAAUCCCAGCUCUGUCACUUACGAGCUGUAUAUUUUUGGACAAGUUACUUCAUUUCCAUGCUUCGGUGUUUUUGUUUUUUCACUGUAAAAUGGAGAUAAUAAUACUGCUUACAUCAUUGGGCUGUCAUGAGAGUUGAGUUAUCUUACGCAAAAUGAUUAAUGGAGAGCCUAGAAGAAAUUGCAAUCCUCAUAAACAUUAGCUAUGGUUAUCUUUUGCAUCUUUUUUUUUUUUUUGUCGUGUGUAAUAUGAAGAUUUGGGUUGGGUACCUGAUGGAUAAAGUCAACGAGUUCAUUAGACUGCAGACUUCUGGGUUCAGUAUUGUAUUCUUAGAGUCCGGAACAGGGCCUGGCAAACAGCAGGUGCUUAUUAUGUUCUUGUUGACUAAAUGACUAAGAUUCUGCUUUUCUUAUAAAAACUGUAUAAGAACCUAUUUGCAGACAUUUAUAAUGCUGAAAUGUUACCUCAUAAAAUUAAAAACAUUCAGAGUGCUAAGAUGAAUAACCUGAGAGCAUCAAACUUUUAGUCAGGGUCCAGUCAGAAAAUGGAAACGCUCAAGCCACAAAUAGUUCAAUAGACACAGUUGAAAUAUGGGGAGCUAGUUACAAAGAGGCCAGGAGAGCUAGAAAGCCAUGGUGAGGCUGCCCAGAGAUUAGUCACUACCACCCCUAGGUGAGUGGAGGAAAAGUGAGGAACGGUCCUCCUGGGACUGCGGAGGGAGGGGCGCUCUAGCCCUGCUGUAUUUGCAGGCUGACCAAAGAGCUCUCCCACCUCCAAACUCCUACUGGCGUCUCCUAUUGGCUAAAUCCAUCUCCUAAAUCCAUCCAGUACAGCAUCAUGGCCUUAAAAACACAAAUGGUGUCAGUUACAAGGAGUAGGUCAGGAGUAUUGUUUUCACUGAGGCAAGAGAGGAUGGGAAUUGUAGUUUGCAGUGUCGGCCUCCCUGCUCCACCCCAACAGUGAUCCAGAGAGGUGCACAGGAGGACAAGGAAUGGAUCUGAGGACAAUGGGCCCAGGCCCAGGACCCCAACCAGGGGGUGUGUAGUAGUCACAUUCUAGAUGAGGUGAUUGGCAAACUAUGGCCCUUGGGUGGCAUCCAGCCUGCUGUGCAUUUUUAUAAAUAAAGUUUUAUUGGAACACAGCCACACCCACUCAUUUCCAUACUGUCUAUGACUGCUUUUGUGCUACAAUAGCAUAAUUUAGUUGUAACAGAAACCACAUAUCCCCCCAAACUUAAAACAUUUAGUAUCUGGCCUUUUACAGAAAAAAUUUGCCUAUCCCUAUUCUAGAUUAUGUCUAAUCCUCACAACCACCUGCUAGGUAAGUAUUUUUACCCUUCUAUUACACAUGGGGAAUAGGCUCAGAGAUGUAUCUGAGUUGCCUGAGGAUGAGCACCUAGGCCAGAAUGGAAUCUGCAUUUCAUCUUCAUCGGAUCUUUUACCAAUUUCCAAUUCCUUCCAUUGUGCCCCUCUGCCUUCCUAAUUUAAGGAAUCUGGUCAUGGUGACAGGCGCCCCACAUGUCUUCCUGCACCCUCUGAGCCAUCCUCGGCCCCUGCACCUCUGCUGAAACAAAAGCAUGCCUUGGUUUGCUAGAUCUCCGUGACAUGGCUAUGGCCCCUCAUCUCACCGUGAAAUUCACAGAGUACGCAGGAAUCGAAGUUGUCUGAAUUGGAAGCAGCCUUAGGUCAUUUCCUAGGAGUGACUUAGAAGUGUUCUGCAGCUUGAAGCUGCUUGUUUGCUAGACUGUCCUUUCCAGGUAGGCAGCUGGUCCUUAAGAAACUCACUUUUUUCCUUUCUGCUCGUUUGCACAGUCAUCACAACUAAGCAAUAAUAGCAAAAGAUUUGGGAGAACGUCUCUGACAUAAUGGAAAUCAAUGUUAAAAUGAGAUUGGCUUUACAAAAUAAACAGUAUAGUCAACUCUUUAGGAAUGCUUCUCCUGUAAAGCUAAGUACACCUGGCUGAUGGAAAAACAAUCCCUUCAGAAUGGAAUAUUAUUGCCAACACUUCCCUGCAUUGCUUGGAGAUUCAUCUUAGGCAACAGUAUUUAUGAGUCAAUCUGUGUUGUCUUUGUAUAACAACAAUAGCAGCAGGAAAAAGCUCUUAGAAUCCAUGUGAAUUUAUGUUUACUGGAAAUUCCGAGUAACUGUAAGCUAGACACUGCUUGCAUUUGCUUUGUUCACACAGAUGGCAAAAAUUGCAGCUCUGGGAAGGACUUAGAGAGGUAAGUAGAAUGCAUGUGAGAUUAAUAAAAUGAGGAUUUACAUGUGAUGACACACAAAAAAGGCGGCACCAUGGCUGUAGUAUUAUUUGACUUAGCAUUUAGCCGACACAGGUAUUUUUAUAAAGUAUAACGUGCUCUCUUGCCUCGGUGAAAACACUACGCCUGACCCACACCUCGUAGGGUAACUGACACCAUUUGUGUUUUUAAGGCGUGAUGAAGCUCUACUGGCCACCCAGUCCCUCUUCCCAUGACCAUUAGAGGUUUGGAAUGACUUAGCCUGCAUUGCAGGGAGCUGGCAGAUGGCUGUGGCCACAGGAGGGACUGUGGGGGGGCCUGUACCCUCAGGGCAGGCAGUAGGCACUUGCUUCUAAGGGGCUCUGGAGCUCGGGAAUCUAUUUCCAUUUUGGGGAUCCUGGGUAAAUGUCUAAACCCCUAGAUAUAGAAGUUCACAACUAUUUCAUAAGAAGCAAUAUGAUGGUGUAGGAAAAGCUUGGGCUUCAGAGGCCAAAAGACACAAGUUUGAAUCCUGCCGUUAUUAACCAAUCCUCUCAUGAAUCUGAUCCCCUUUCCAGGCCUGAGAGGGAGGUGGGGAGGCCUCUAUGACUGCUGAAUAAUAGCCCUCAAAGAUAACCAAGUCCUAAUCUCUGGGAUCUGGGAAUGUUACCUUAUAUGGAAGAAGGUCCUGUGUGGAUGUGGUUAAGUGAAAGGUUUUGACAUGGGGAUAUUAUCCUGGGUGAUCUGAACGGGCACUAAAUAAAAUCACAAGAGUCCUUCUAAGAAGGAAGCAGAGGGAUAUUUGACACAGAAGAGGAAGAAGACACCGUGACCAUAAUGGAAGCAGGAAGAGAUGUGAAGAUGCCACACAAUUGCUUUUGAAGAUGGAGGAAAGGACCACGGAGUCCAGGAGCACAAGGAAUGUAGCAGCCUCUAAGUGAGAAAAGGUGGAGAAACAGGUUCUCUGCCCGCCAGACUCUGGAGAGACUGUGGUGCUACUGACAUCAUGAUUUUAGAUCGCACUUACAGGAUUCUUCUGAUUACAUCAGGUGCACCCAGAAAAUCCAGGAUAAUCUCUCCAUCUGAAACUCAUAUCUGCAAUGUCCUUUAUUUCCCAGAGCCAGUUGGAGCAUGAAGCUUCAGAAUCGCCUUCCAACUCUCUGUGCAGUGCACCAGCUGCUUCCCAUAGACUCCUGGUAAAAUAUAAUUGUCAAUUACUCCUUCCUCAUUCUUUGCUUUGUGGCUUACAAAAGAGCGGAAGGAAGAAGAGCCACCACCCAUAACAUCAGUGGCUGCUAACUGAGGAGUGUUUUAACAUGCUGGUACAGCCUAUCCUCAGCUUUCCAGAAGGUGGAAUCUUGUGAUAGUGGAAAGACAGUAGAAGAGAGGAAGGUAUGCCAGUAACCAGCGAUGCCCAGCUGGCUCUACUAGGAUUACGUACAGCCUGUAUUUGUUCUGAUUGUACCUGUGACUCCAGAAUUUGCCAGCAAAAGAAGUCAACAAUAUUUUAACUUUAAUCUUAGCCAAAAGGCCAAGAAGUGAUGCUAGUAUUUUCAUAUACUACUACAGUUGCAGACACACGUCUAACAUAGCUGGGUAGUAAUCCAGGCAACUCUGCCGCAAGUCAUGGGCUCAGCCACCAGUCCACGGAGUCUCCAGUCACAUGGAUUGCUUUGGACUAGUCUCUAUCCCCAGUUGUCGAUUAACUAAAAUGUGAAACGAGCUACGCCUUGGGGACCUCACAGUAACUUCCCAGUGCAGAGCACUUGACUGCACGGAACCUGGAUUGACUCAAACCUGUGAAUUUCCCUUCCUGAAACAUAGGAUGCCAUGGAGUCCCCCAACUGGCUUCAUAAAUUUGGUGUCACAUUGUAAAUCAAGCAGCUGCAGAGUGGCUGGGACAUCUGCUUGGCUCUGUUAUUCUCUUAACUCCAAAAGGAAACGAACUCAAAAAGCUCCUUCCAGUUGGCUGAGCUUUAAAGGAUGGUUGGAGAUCCAGCAGCCAUCUUGGACCAUGAGGUGAAUCACGAUGAAGCAAAAUGACAGAAAGAGCCAAGAUCCUUGUCCUGUGGAAAGCAAUACAGAAUAAAACCUGAUGUCUGAGCUGAAUCCCAGUCGUGAAGAAACUUUUCCACCAUUCCUGUCUGUGUUUUUCUAAGUGUGCUCUUGAAGUUCCACAUUUCCCAGGGUGGGAGUGCAGUGGUG